UACGGGGGGGAGCAAGCGUUGUUCGGAUUUACUGGGCGUAAAGGGCGCGUAGGCGGUCGUGACAAGUCACUUGUGAAAUCUCCGGGCUUAACUCGGAACGGUCAAGUGAUACUGUCGGACUAGAGUACAGAAGGGGCAACUGGAAUUCUCGGUGUAGCGGUGAAAUGCGUAGAUAUCUGGAGGAACACCGGUGGCGAAGGCGGC
rnacentral:rRNA from 1 species